GCCUUCAUAGUUCAAUGGAUAGAACAAAUCUCUCCUAAAGAUUAGAUCUGAGUUCGAUUCUCAGUGGAGGUACAA
rnacentral:tRNA from 1 species